rnacentral:rRNA from 1 species
UACGAAGGGGGCGAGCGUUGUUCGGAAUUACUGGGCGUAAAGGGCGCGUAGGCGGCGAUCCUAGUCAGAUGUGAAAGUCCUGGGCGUUAACCUGGGGACUGCAUUUGAUACUGGAUUGCUUGAAUUCGGGAGAGGAUAGCGGAAUUCCCAGUGUAGAGGUGAAAUUCGUAGAUAUUGGGAAGAACACCGGUGGCGAAGGCGGCUAUCUGGACCGACAUUGACGCUGAGGCGCGAAAGCGUGGGAGCAAACAGG